GCGAGAGUGGUGAAAUUGGCAGACACGCCAGACUUAGGAUCUGGUGCCCAUACGGCAUAAGGGUUCGAGUCCCUUCUCUCGCA
rnacentral:tRNA from 1 species